rnacentral:rRNA from 1 species
CGGACGGGUGAGUAACGCGUGAGAAUCUGCCUUCAGGUUCGGGACAACCACUGGAAACGGUGGCUAAUACCGAAUGUGCAGAGAUGUGAAAUAUUAAUAGCCUGAAGAUGAGCUCGCGUCUGAUUAGCUAGUAGGUGUGGUAAAAGCGCACCUAGGCGACGAUCAGUAGCUGGUCUGAGAGGAUGAUCAGCCACACUGGGACUGAGACACGGCCCAGACUCCUACGGGAGGCAGCAGUGGGGAAUUUUCCGCAAUGGGCGAAAGCCUGACGGAGCAAUACCGCGUGAGGGAGGAAGGCUCUUGGGUUGUAAACCUCUUUUCUCAAGGAAGAACACAAUGACGGUACUUGAGGAAUAAGCAUCGGCUAACUCCGUGCCAGCAGCCGCGGUAAUACGGAGGAUGCAAGCGUUAUCCGGAAUGAUUGGGCGUAAAGCGUCCGCAGGUGGCUAUGUAAGUCUGCUGUUAAAUAGUCUAGCUCAACUAGAUAAAGGCAGUGGAAACUACAUGGCUAGAGUGCGUUCGGGGCAGAGGGAAUUCCUGGUGUAGCGGUGAAAUGCGUAGAGAUCAGGAAGAACACCGGUGGC